AUUGAACGCUGGCGGCAGGCCUAACACAUGCAAGUCGAACGGUAACAGGAAGAAGCUUGCUUCUUUGCUGACGAGCGGCGGACGGGUGAGUAAUGUCUGGGAAACUGCCUGAUGGAGGGGGAUAACUACUGGAAACGGUAGCUAAUACCGCAUAACGUCGCAAGACCAAAGAGGGGGACCUUCGGGCCUCUUGCCAUCGGAUGUGCUCAGAUGGGAUUAGCUAGUAGGUGGGGUAACGGCUCACCUAGGCGACGAUCCCUAGCUGGUCUGAGAGGAUGACCAGCCACACUGGAACUGAGACACGGUCCAGACUCCUACGGGAGGCAGCAGUGGGGAAUAUUGCACAAAGGGCGCAAGCCUGAUGCAGCCAUGCCGCGUGUAUGAAGAAGGCCUUCGGGUUGUAAAGUACUUUCAGCGGGGAGGAAGGGAGUAAAGUUAAUACCUUUGCUCAUUGACGUUACCCGCAGAAGAAGCACCGGCUAACUCCGUG
rnacentral:rRNA from 1 species